UCCUGUGUUGCUUGCCUAACGUGACGGAAGUUCAUCCACGAUGAUUCCCAAUUUUUGCCUCUCGCCACUUCGUGGUGUUAGGUCGACAUGGAAGUACUGCCCAUUGUCCUUGAAUGCCUCGCCCUUUUGCGUCGCAAUCAUGGUCCAUGGGCUUGUGCUAGUUCCCACGGAUGCAGAACCUUUGGAGGAUGCACAGCAUGUUGCUGUUGUUUACCCACAAAGCGUUCAUGGCUCGGUGCGUACGACGGCUGUGCCCGCCAAGGUCUCGUCUUUAACUAGUUUGGACGGGGCUCAUGCGGUGCCGGCGUCGCAGAGGAAUGCUACCUGGUUGAUCCUGCCAGUAGUCAUAUGCUUGUCUCAA
rnacentral:misc_RNA from 1 species